rnacentral:siRNA from 1 species
GAGCGUUUUUGAUAGCCUGAAGU